AACAUCGCGCACCUGCGGGAACCUGCGGAGGGAUCGUUACAGAGUUGCAAAACUCCCUAAACCAUUGUGAACGUUACCUAAACCGUUGCUUCGGCGGGCGGCCCGGGUCCUUCCCGGCGCCCAUCGGCCCUCGCGGGCGCCCGCCGGAGGUAAACCAAACUAUUGCAUUGUAUGGCCUCUCUGAGUCUUCUGUACUGAAUAAGUCAAAACUUUCAACAAUGGAUCUCAGAUCGGAAGAGC
rnacentral:misc_RNA from 1 species